rnacentral:rRNA from 1 species
UGAGGAAUAUUGGUCAAUGGGCGAGAGCCUGAACCAGCCAAGUAGCGUGCAGGACGACGGCCCUAUGGGUUGUAAACUGCUUUUAUGUGGGGAUAAAGUGCGUGACGUGUCAUGCAUUGCAGGUACCAUAUGAAUAAGGACCGGCUAAUUCCGUGCCAGCAGCCGCGGUAAUACGGAAGGUUCGGGCGUUAUCCGGAUUUAUUGGGUUUAAAGGGAGCGUAGGCCGUUUGGUAAGCGUGUUGUGAAAUGUAGGAGCUCAACUUCUAGAUUGCAGCGCGAACUGUCAGACUUGAGUGCGCACAACGUAGGCGGAAUUCAUGGUGUAGCGGUGAAAUGCUUAGAUAUCAUGAAGAACUCCGAUUGCGAAGGCAGCUUACGGGAGCGCAACUGACGCUGAAGCUCAAAGGUGCGGGUAUCGAACAGG